AUGAAGAGCCUGCAAAGUAACAAGGAGCAAACACUCAGGAAAGGGGCUCCCAGGACCCCAGCAGGCAUUUAUAACUGCUCAACUGGAGACGACACUCGGAAAUGCAGACCUGUGCUCUCUAACUGGUACACAGUGUGGCCUGAAUGGGCCAGAUCCCCUCUGCCAGACUGCGCGUCCUCCAACUCCCACGCCCGCCUGGGGCCAGACUCAGGGCUUCACCACAUGCCCCAUCACAAAAACCACCCAGCACUCUGGCCCGUAACACAGAUGGGAAGGUGGACGAGACAGUUGACUCACAUCACACAGGAAACCUUAACCAAAACUUUCUAAAUAGAAGUCUGUGUUUGAAAGAGUCUCUUAAGUUGCUGCCUCGGGCUCUUGUCCUCCUCUAAAGAUGACAAAGUUCCUCUGGAUGGCCCCAAGCAACUGGACAGGUCAGAACUUGCACAGGUCAGAAUAGGCCACUUGCACAAGUCAGAACUGGGACUGCCUUUGUUCCUUAAGCAUGCUGCUUGGAGAUCUCAGUUUAUCUUAUGGUCACCAGUGGACAUAUUAUGUCUCUAAUACUCACUGAAUGCCAGUAUUUUGGAUUUAAAAAAAAUGUGAAAGUGGGUCAAGCUUUUAUUUUGCUUUCCAAAAAUGCCUUUUCUCAGCAUCAACCUGUUUCCUUCCUUUUUCCUGGACUGUCUUCUCCCUAGCAUCCACCCAGGGAAGGCUCUCGGGCCUGGACACAUCCUGAUGGAGAAAGGACUUCCCAGGUGAGGCUUCUCCACCUGCUUAGACUUCCUUCACUGCCCUGCUCCACUCACCCACCCAGCCAGCACUGUCAGGGAAAUACUGGGUUGUAUCUGUAUCCCUGUUGAAAAACAGGGACAGUGCUGUAUUUCAAAGAUUGUUCCACAGACCACCUGUAGCAGAAUCAGCCGGGGUGCUUCCAUAGGCAGGUAUCUGGGCCUGAUACCCGCUAAGUCAUCAUUCCUGGGGAUGGGCAGAUGUCCAUAAAUGUUAGAGAAACAGUGGCUGUACACUGUGCCAGGUCUGAUCUGAAUGCAUCUCCUUCCAAUAACAUUUUGUGAUCUUUAAUAUAUCCACCCCCAACCCCACACAGAUUUUCAGGCAUUUGGACGAGCACUCACCCUACAGGGGCUGACCUGAACCCACCAAGGAUCCUGGUCCCUGCAGGUCCCGUGUCCUCUCUUUCUGCCUGGCCUGUACCACCUCCCUUUUCCUCCCACCAUAGUAUUCAGCCAUUCUCCCCAUCAGUUCAAGUCCCACCCGUGCUUGGAACUCCUUGAUUGGCAUUGUUCCCAAAGCACACAC
rnacentral:lncRNA from 1 species